GCGCCCGUUUUGGAUUGAACUCACCAUUUCGUUGUGACGUAUAAGGGAUUCCGACCAUUUUUAGCCAUUUUUUGAAAGAAUGAGCACUUGCAUAUUUGGAACGCUUGGAGAGUCGACGUAAGAAGAAUUGAGCGUAACUUUUGCACACGUUGUCCGUUUUGGGCCCAUAAGUACUUUUUGAAAAUGUUGUGUCCGUUUUGGAUUGAAC
rnacentral:lncRNA from 1 species